UUGGCAGACGCUUUUAUUCAAAUGACUUUAUUUUCUAUAUGGUUAAAUCUGUGUGCAGUUGUGUUCUUUUGCAUUAUAUGUUAUCAGUUCAUGCAGUGCACUGCUGUUUGAGCAACCCAAUGCAUGCUGGGCAUCAAAAGGAAUAAAAGGACUGUUGUUGCUUUUUUCCACCACUGGCACAGACAAAAAUGCCUAUAUUCUGUCUGAAAUGGAUGCAACCGCAAUGGUGCUUUUUACUAAGCACUGCAGUCAGAGAUGCAUCACUAGCACACCAAUCAAAAUAUCCGUUACCAUCCGCACCCGCUCAAAUGCCAGCCAAUAGGAAGUCUGCACGCCAGGUCCAGGUCCUUGCCGGAGCCGAUCACAGGCUCCAGGAACGCCAACAGCAAGGUAAUUCAUUCUAAUUAGGCCGUUUGCCAUUCCCGAGUCUGUCCUAACUCGGCCAGCUGCUACCUGAGAAUGCUGCUCUUCAAUCAAAACCAGCGGCCGACUCUUGUCUUUCAUCGUUGGGGAAACCAUCAGGGCGACAGGGAAGAGCUCGACUCAUGUUCGGCUACAAAACAGCACGGCGGUCGGCGGAUGUUUAAAAUGGCCAAGCAUUACUCAACCGAAGGAGCUUAACUGUUGUCUUUGGCCGUCUGGCUUGGUUCUUUUUCUAAUAAUGGCUAAAGUUUCAUGCUUUAGAGCUGUAACAACAUGGAACAAGGCAGCACCAAUGAAUAUAUUAAGGUCUUUCGAGCUUCAUCAGGAAGCAUAAAGCACAGAGAAAGGACCUCUUCAAACUGUUAGGGACCACAAUGAGGUCUAAAUCCCGCACGGGACACUUAGGGACAGAGUUCUGACCCAAUUCACAACCAAACAGGAAGAAAUGGCCGAAUCCUAACAAGAUUUAUUUUCAUUUGCUUUCAAGACGCGGCGGAGGCAGGAACUAGCUUUCGCUCGCUGUAUCUUUAAAGGACUUGAAGUUUUCUUGGCAGCUCAGGGAAGAACUGCAAGUUCAGCCAAAAUAGACAAUAAAGCAAAGGGGAGGAACAUGCCAAAAUGAAGGGGGCAACUAGUUCCAGGGGUUCAUUUUUCCUUCAUGAUUCACGCUGGAAAAGAAAGCACUUCCCUGUCCUCAUAUGAACUCUCGCCGCGCUCUGCGACUCUCACAAGGAAGCGCUGGGGGAGGGGACGGCCACGCGCAUUUUUGCGCGCUCGCAGAACUGGGUCAACUGCAGACGAGUCAAAAGAAGCGAGAGAGGUAAACAAACCGGCGAAAACUCGCACGUACAGAGACUCAGAGUCAAUGAAAGAGAAUCUUUUCUCCUCAGCACUCGUGACUAUCCAGACUCUCGCUGCAGCUGCGCGUGACUCCACUGUAUUCAACAGAUCGCGCUCUCGCGGCGGCCUCAAGUUGCUUCCAACUGUCCUGAGGUUCUUCUACUGAUUAUAUGCUUUGUAGAGGAAUUAAACUGAAAUGUUUUUGACACAAGGGAGAUGCCAGAUCGCUCACUGCGCGCGCAAUUGUAAAAAACAACAACCCAUAAGAAGCUAAAUUGAUGCAAAAGCUUGCAUUUAGUCACUGCAGUUGUGGUUUUGUUACUUUUGAGCAUCAUUAAUUUUAGUUUGUUUUUUAUGCCUUCUCUAAAUAAUAAUAAUAAUAAAAGCUCUUCUUAAUG
ensembl:lncRNA